GUUCGGUUCGUCUAGUUGGUUAGGACACCACCCUUUCAAGGUGGCGACGCGAGUUCGAAUCUCGUACCGAAUAC
rnacentral:tRNA from 1 species